GUCCCGAUAGGGUAGCGGAUAUCCUAGAAGCCUGCGGAGCUUUUGACCUGAGUUCAAGUCUCAGUCGGGACG
rnacentral:tRNA from 1 species